rnacentral:rRNA from 1 species
UACGUAGGGCGCAAGCGUUGUCCGGAAUUAUUGGGCGUAAAGAGCUCGUAGGCGGCUUGUCGCGUCGGUUGUGAAAGCCCGGGGCUUAACCCCGGGUCUGCAGUCGAUACGGGCAGGCUAGAGUUCGGUAGGGGAGAUCGGAAUUCCUGGUGUAGCGGUGGAAUGCGCAGAUAUCAGGAGGAACACCGGUGGCGAAGGCGGAUCUCUGGGCCGAUACUGACGCUGAGGAGCGAAGGCGUGGGGAGCAAACAGG